UACGUAGGGGGCUAGCGUUGUCCGGAAUCAUUGGGCGUAAAGCGCGCGUAGGCGGCCAGAUAAGUCCGGUGUGAAAGUCACAGGCUCAACCUGUGAAUGCCGCUGGAAACUGUCUGGCUUGAGUCCGGAAGGGGCGAGUGGAAUUCCUGGUGUAGCGGUGAAAUGCGCAGAUAUCAGGAGGAACACCGAUUGCGAAGGCAGCUCGCUGGAACGUUACUGACGCUGAGACGCGAAAGCGUGGGGAGCAAACAGG
rnacentral:rRNA from 1 species